AACGAACGCUGGCGGCAGGCUUAACACAUGCAAGUCGAGCGCCCCGCAAGGGGAGCGGCAGACGGGUGAGUAACGCGUGGGAAUCUACCCAUCUCUACGGAAUAACGCAUGGAAACGUGUGCUAAUACCGUAUACGUCCUUCGGGAGAAAGAUUUAUCGGAGAUGGAUGAGCCCGCGUUGGAUUAGCUAGUCGGUGGGGUAAAGGCCUACCAAGGCGACGAUCCAUAGCUGGUCCGAGAGGAUGAUCAGCCACACUGGGACUGAGACACGGCCCAGACUCCUACGGGAGGCAGCAGUGGGGAAUAUUGGACAAUGGGCGCAAGCCUGAUCCAGCCAUGCCGCGUGAGUGAUGAAGGCCCUAGGGUUGUAAAGCUCUUUCACCGGUGAAGAUAAUGACGGUAACCGGAGAAGAAGCCCCGGCUAACUUCGUGCCAGCCGCCGCAGUAAAAC
rnacentral:rRNA from 1 species